AAAAAACUUUUCGAAACGUUUACAAGCGAGAUCUCGCCUUGGUAUGAAAAUAAUAUGAAAAGUUUGUUUACACUGCGUUCAUAUAAUACAAAACGUUUUCCCGUGUAUGUACCGAGAUCUCGCUUGUCGAGUGAUAACGUUUUUCCCAUAUGAACACAACUCUAGUUCCUGCUUGGCAGGAUAGCUUUCUGUCGUGUCAGUACUGACUUUUCAGUUCAAUAUCAAUUCUGCUAUGUCACAGCCGGAAACUUUACCCGGUAAGCGGAAUAACAUUUCUCCAUGCAUGUGGACAGAACAAAAGUAUAUUUGGCUAGUCGAAAAGUUUUCUCGUCAACCGAAAUAACCUUUGCCCAUAUGAACAGGCCCUUUAAGACGAAAGGGGUUGUUUUCUCGCAUAAAUUUUGUGCCAUCUUGUAUAUAUUCACCCGCCACGAUUUCGAGAGGUAUGGACGCAUCGAACGACAGCUAUUUGCUACGACCUAGCUAGUUACUGCUCUCUUCAGCGACGAACAGUGGUAUAAAAAUUUCCGAGUCAACUAGAGCAACAUUCACAUUCAGUGUUAUUUAAAUUUGUUUUUUAACCUUGUUUUUUUUUAUUUUUGGCAAGUUGUAGUUUUUCCCCGCUUGCUGCCAUGUUGGAAAGAAGACAAUUUGUUUUGCGCAUGCUCGAUGUCGAACAUAUUUUUUAUUUUUUUCGAAAUUUGGGCACGGCACCCCUUGCUAGACGUGCCGAGACUACCUCGUGAGAAAGUCUCGGCACGUCGUUUAAAUUUUGCGGCACCGGUGCCGAUUAUUGUCACGUUUACACGCCAAAAGGCAGAGGUGCCGUGCCUAAAAUUUUGGGCACGGGUGCCCAUUUUUAGGGGUGCCGUGCCCAAAACACUGGUCG
rnacentral:lncRNA from 1 species